GUGGGGGAUAACGUUCCGAAAGGAACGCUAAUACCGCAUACGUCCUACGGGAGAAAUCAUGAGACCUUCGGGCCUUGCGCUAUCAGAUGAGCCUAGGUCGGAUUAGCUAGUUGGUGAGGUAAUGGCUCACCAAGGCGACGAUCCGUAACUGGUCUGAGAGGAUGAUCAGCUCACACUGGAACUGAGACACGGUCCAGACUCCUACGGGAGGCAGCAGUGGGGAAUAUUGGACAAUGGGCGAAAGCCUGAUCCAGCCAUGCCGCGUGUGUGAAGAAGGUCUUCGGAUUGUAAAGCACUUUAAGUUGGGAGGAAGGGCAUUAACCUAAUACGUUAGUGUUUUGACGUUACCAA
rnacentral:rRNA from 1 species